GGAGAGGUGGCCGAGUGGUUUAAGGCGUACGCUUGGAAAGCGUAUUUAUGAGAAAUUGUAACAAGGGUUCGAAUCCCUUUCUCUCCG
rnacentral:tRNA from 1 species